GAUGAACGCUGGCGGCGUGCCUAACACAUGCAAGUCGAGCGAAGCGAUCUGAUGGAAGUUUUCGGAUGGAAGUCAGAUUGACUGAGCGGCGGACGGGUGAGUAACGCGUGGGUAACCUGCCUCAUACAGGGGGAUAACAGUUAGAAAUGGCUGCUAAUACCGCAUAAGCACACAGGACCGCAUGGUCCGGUGUGAAAAACUCCGGUGGUAUGAGAUGGACCCGCGUCUGAUUAGCUAGUUGGUAAGGUAACGGCUUACCAAGGCAACGAUCAGUAGCCGACCUGAGAGGUUGAACGGCCACAUUGGGACUGAGACACGGCCCAG
rnacentral:rRNA from 1 species